UUCAAAGCGUCAAGCAACCACCACCUAAUAUCACUAAUUUUUUUCACCUCCACCAACCCUCCACCUGUACUGAACGACCCCAUUAAUUAUGGAAGCCACCCUGUUUGAACUAGUAACUAGAAUUAGAAAUUCUCCUCGAUGUAAACAUAACCCGUAACGGACAACCCAACGGCAAUUAAAGUAAAUGAAUCUUUUGCAACAACCCACUUAAAAAACCUGCAAUAACAAACGUUAACCUAACACAAGAACAUCCCAGGAAAGAUUAAAAAAGGAAGAAGGAACUCGGCAAACAAUGAACCCCGCCUGUUUACCAAAAACAUCGCCUCUUGAUAACCUAUAAGAGGUCCAGCCUGCCCAAUGAUUUAUUGAAUGGCCGCGGUAUCCUGACCGUGCUAAGGUAGCAUAAUAAUUUGUCCUUUAAUUGGGGACUAGUAUGAAUGGCACCACGAGGGUUAAACUGUCUCCCCCCUUUAAUCAGUGAAACUGACCUCCCCGUGAAAAGGCGGGAAUUUUAAUACAAGACGAGAAGACCCCAUGGAGCUUUAGACCUAAAGCACAUUAAAUAUUAUACUCCCCAAAAUUUACAAUCCCUGACUCCAAGUCUUAGGUUGGGGCAACCAUGGAGAAAAACCUAACCUCCAUUCUGAACGGAUAAAUCCUAAUCCAAGAACUACACCUCUAAGAAUCAAUAAACUGACACCCAUUGACCCAAAAUUUGAUCAAAGAACCAAGUUACCCUGGGGAUAACAGCGCCAUCUACCUCAAGAGUUCAUAUCGACAGGUAGGUUUACGACCUCGAUGUUGGAUCAGGGUACCCAUGUGGUGCAGCCGCUACAUAUGGUUCGUUGU
rnacentral:rRNA from 1 species